rnacentral:tRNA from 1 species
GCGGGUGUGGCGGAAUGGUAGACGCAAGGGACUUAAAAUCCCUCGACCUUUGGUCAUGUGGGUUCGAGUCCCACCACCCGCACCA